rnacentral:tRNA from 1 species
GCCGGCGUGGUGAAAUGGUAGACACAGGGGACUUAAAAUCCCCAGGCCUAACGGCCGUGCCGGUUCGAGUCCGGCCGCCGGCACCA